rnacentral:lncRNA from 1 species
GAAUCCUUUGAGGGCUCAGAAGACAGUGGUGCCAGCAUUCCUAAGGUCCCACCAGUCCUUGGGGCAAGAGGGGCUUCUUAUCCAAAAGCUGUGUGCUCCAGCAUCCCUGGAGGUCUCUCGGCAUCACAGAUACCCGCCAUAGAAGGCACACCAAGCUGGUGGCACUGGAACCCCAAAGCCUGCCUGCCCUGGGCCUCACAUGCUGUCCAUGCUGAAAGCCUGGAUGAGCUUUCUUCAAAUUCUCUCAGCUCUGCCACCACCUUGAUUCCUGCGUUGCAUGCUGAAAUUGCAAUAACACGCUCUCUGCUGCCUGUUCUUGUCCACCGCACCUCAGCUGCCAGGUUAAUCUCCCGAGAAUGCCGUUAGGACUGGCGCCUUGAUCACCUCACUUGUCAAAUUUGGGGUUCCAGCUCCAUAGAUCAGCAUCUUUAGAGAUCAAAUAAAUCCUUUGGAAUCCUGAAGACCAUUAUCCACCAAAAUGCUUGUGGCUCAGGGAGACUGCUGGUGGAGAUGGUGUCAGCCCUAGCCUGUCAGAGCUUUGCAGGGCUCAGCCAAGGAGCCAGGCAGUUGUGAACAGCAGCUGCAGCAGCACCCCUCCUAUCUGCUGGGUCACCACAGGAAGUGCUGCUCCAUAUCUGUAUCCAGAUUCUUUCUUCCUAUG